rnacentral:rRNA from 1 species
AACGUAGGAGGCGAGCGUUAUCCGGAUUUACUGGGCGUAAAGGGCAAGUAGGCGGUGGCCAAAGUUGGGCGUGACAUCUCCCGGCUCAACUGGGAGGGGUCGUUCAAAACUAGGUCACUAGAGGGCAGGAGAGGGAAGCGGAAUUCCUAGUGUAGCGGUGGAAUGCGCAGAGAUCAGGAGGAAUACCGAAGGCGAAGGCAGUCUUCCAAGCCGUUAUUGACGCUCAACUGCGAAGGUGUGGGUAUCAAACAGGAUUAGAUACCCUGGUAGUCCCUGAG